rnacentral:rRNA from 1 species
AUUGAACGCUGGCGGCAGGCCUAACACAUGCAAGUCGAGCGGAUGAAGGGAGCUUGCUCCUGGAUUCAGCGGCGGACGGGUGAGUAAUGCCUAGGAAUCUGCCUGGUAGUGGGGGAUAACGUCCGGAAACGGGCGCUAAUACCGCAUACGUCCUGAGGGAGAAAGUGGGGGAUCUUCGGACCUCACGCUAUCAGAUGAGCCUAGGUCGGAUUAGCUAGUUGGUGGGGUAAAGGCCUACCAAGGCGACGAUCCGUAACUGGCCUGAGAGGAUGGUCAGUCACACUGGAACUGAGACACGGUCCAGACUCCUACGGGAGGCAGCAGUGGGGAAUAUUGGACAAUGGGCGAAAGCCUGAUCCAGCCAUGCCGCGUGUGUGAAGAAGGUCUUCGGAUUGUAAAGCACUUUAAGUUGGGAGGAAGGGCAGUAAGUUAAUACCUUGCUGUUUUGACGUUACCAACAGAAUAAGCACCGGCUAACUUCGUG